GACCUAUAGUUUAAUUUCCAGUGUCUAGAUGUAAUAGUCUGGAUAUAAACAGAAUCAUCUGGAACUGAUUUUUUUUCACACUUAACACUUCUUUCAGAUCCUGGUUUCCAGGAGGCUCCUUCCUCCAGCCACACCUCCAGAUGAAAAUCCCUUAAUUAACCAAGAAAGAUUGAACCGUGUUUAAUUGCUUUUCUAAACAAUCAUGUCUGCUGGAUUCACUUAUGUUGAGAAUUGACUAGCCAAUUGCAAACCACAGAGUCAUUCUCUUGGACCCUCUGCACAGUCUCUUCUUCCCCCAAAUAGGGUCUUACUAAGGACCAUUUGCUCCUCUUCUGGCUGCAGCAGCGUAGCUGUCACUGGAGUGUGUGGCCUUUAUAACCGUUUGCGUUUUUCCUGCCCCAUGAUGCUGACUGAUCCAGCCCUCUCCGGGGCACAGUGCACAGACCGUAAUGUGCACUGGAAAACUCUGGUUUCUCUUGCAGGCUGCUCUUAUGCACAUGCUUUCCCUUCAAACAGGAUAAGCGACUAGAAUGAAAUCAGGUUAUUGACUGAAUUAUGUUUCAAAGAAAAAUAAUCUUGCUCGUUGGAUUCACAUCCAGGAGUAAGUCAUCCUUCUUAGGUGUGAGAUGGAACUCUAUUUUCCUUGGAGAACCCCAAGGCUGUGGGCCCUGGGAGGGAAUUGGUGAGCCGAGGCGUAUCUAUUGGUUGUACUGGGAAGCACAAGUCUGCAGAGCAAGGCCAAGAUGAAGAAUUUGAAGAAUCUCUGCAGUCGGAUAGUUCAGCUCAAACUCAUGUGCCUAUUUUUUAUUUAUUUAUUUAUUUGUCUUUUUUUUUGCCAUUUCUGGGGCCACUCUCACAGCAUAUGGAGGUUCCCAGGCUCGGGGUCCAAUCGGAGCCAUAGCCACCGGCCUACGCCAGAGCCACACCAACGUGGCAUCCGAGCCGCGUCUGCCACCUACACCACAGCUCACGGCAACACUGGAUCCUUAACCCACUGAGCAAGGCCAGGGAUCAAACCCGCAACCUCAUGGUUCCUAGCCAGGUUCGUUAACCACUGAGCCACCAUGGGAACUCCAAAAUCAUGUGCUUAUUAAGGACAAAACUGCUUUCCCACCUGCUCUUCAGGUGUGUAGACAGAUACGGAGGAGAAAGGUAAAAGCAGAUGUGGUAUGAAGGCUUGGUGUGUGUGAGCACUGAUGAUAGGGUUUAGUUUAGUUUAACAUGGACAGGAAUCGUGAUCUCUGUGCCAUACCUAUCCCCCAUUCUUCUACCUCUAUCCUACCUGAGCUAGUCUGAAUCCAAAGGACUGUCGCAGAGAUCUCAAAACGACGCUGCCAGCUCUUCUUCAGCAAAACUUGUCCUUCUAUCGACUCUCUCUCAAAGUUUACUAAUUCAAACUAACUUAUUCCAACUAAAAGCAAGUAUUAAAUUCUGCCAUUCUCUCCUCCCAUCCCACAUUUUAAUUAUACAAGCACCCUCACAGGAGAUAGUAAACCUUAAAUAUUUUAACAUUUUUCCCAGCAGGGAGACAGCGGCACAUAAAGCAACCGCAAUUAUACUAAAAGAUUUAUUUGUCUCUGACCCGGGAAGCCAUGCAUCAGUGCUCUAAGACGAUAAAGUCGGCCCUUCCCACCCUGAGGGAGCUAAUGAAUUAGCAUAAAUAUCUAUGAGUAGGUUAAGUAUAUGCAGAUAUAACAGGUGUGACAACCUAAGGAACUUUUAAACAGUUAACAAGGAUUUAAAAACACACCUAUCAGAUAUUUUAGAAAAUAUUUGCUUGUAAAUUUAGAAUUGGGCUCAAAUUUUAUUGAGCAACUGAAAGAACAGCUAAGUCCAUUGCCAGAUUUAUUCACAAGAUAUUUUCCAUUUGGUCAUACUUAUUUAGAAAUUGUUGUUAUUUUGGAUAUAAACUGGCUAAAAUUUAUCUUUUCACUGUUUGGAAAAAUUAUUUGAAGACAAAAAGAGUAAUGUAAAAAGUAUGAAAAGACUGAUUCUUUUUUUAUACCUUUAAAAAAUUGAGAUACAUUGGUUUAUAAUGUUAUAUACUCUAUGUAUACAUUCUGUUUCUACUUUUGUAUACACUGCAUUGUGCUCACUCCCCAGAAUUUGGUUUCCAUCUGUUACCAUACUAAAAAGAUGAUUUAUUUUUUUUUAGGGCCUCACCCACAGCAUAAGGAAGUUCCCAUGCUAGGGGCUGGCCUCUGUGACCUACACCACAGCUCAUGGAUCCUUAACCCACUGAGUAACGGCAGGGAUCGAACCCUCAUCUUCAUGGAUUCUAGUCGGGUUCAUUUAUGCUGCAGCACAAGGGGAACUCCAAGACUGAUUCUUUUUUCUUUUGCCUUUUCCUCCACACCUGUGGCCACAUGGAGGUUCCCAGGUUCCCAGGGGUGGAAUUGGAGCUGUAGCCACCAGCCGACACCACACCACAGCAACUCGGGAUCCGAGCCUUGCCUGCCACCUACACCACAGCUCACAGCAACGUCAGAUCCCCAAUGCACUGAGUGAGGCCAGGGACUGAGCCUGCGUCCUCUUGGAUGCUAUUUGGGUUCGAUGUCCACUGAGCCACCUUUGAUUAGCGCAGUUUGAAUUACUGUCUUUCGUACUUGAGAUAAACUGAACUACUUUAAAAAUUCAAAUCUGUAAUUAAUUCAGAGUUUUCAUCCUGUAAUUAAAACUAGUAAGUGUUGAAGUUCCCGUCGUGGCGCAGCGGAAACGAAUCGACUGGGAACCAUGAGGUUGAGGGUUCCAUCCCUGGCCUUGCUCAGCAGGUAAAGGAACGGCGUUGCCGUGAGCUAUGGUGUAGGUCGCAGAUGUGGCUAAGAUCUGGCGUGGCUGUGGCUGUAGGCCGGCGGCUACAGGUCUGAUUCGACCCCUAGCCUGGGAACCUCCAUAUGCCAGGUGGGGGAGUGGGGGCUAAAAAGACAAAAGACAAAAAAAACCCCAAAAACUAGUAAGUGUUGGGGUCUAUAAACUGGAGAGAGAACACUAAAUGGAGGACAGAAAACACCACGCCAUCAAGAUCCCACCCAGGCUCCAGACACCUUGUCAGCGGAGCAAACCAACAGGAAAAACAGAUGCCGGCAGGAUGAAGGCUCCAGGACCAAGAUAAGUUAAGGAGCUGUUGAAACCUCAAAAUGAACAGAGCCAAAAAGACUACUGAAACUCACACCUAAGACCUAAAUCCUCCCUCUGCGUUUCUCAAGCUCUCUUCCCCAUUCCCCUUGAGCCUCUGUGAUCCAUCCCACGAAACCCUAGCUAUAAAAAAGCCCUUGCCCCAAUAGUGGGGAGCCUGAGUUCUCCCUGCUCGGUGCUCCCGGCCACUGUGUUGGUCCAUAAACCUGCUUGUGAUCUCACUGCUCCAGCCUCUGUUUCUCUCGACUCCGCCAUCCUAACAGUAAGAUUAUGUAUUAAAUUUAGAUACUGUUCUGGUGACAAAAGCUUUGAAUCUUCUUCAGGGUUUUCUUUUUUUUUCCCUCCCAACCCUGUAUGUUCUGUCCUCCCUCUAUGAAGCUUUGUAGUUGUUAGGAAUUUUAAAAAGCAAAUUCAUGAAACCUGUCUCCUGCUGGGUGUUUAUGAAAUAAAAGCAGAUAUAAAGGAGGGAAAAAAAUAAAGACAAUAACUUGUGGAGCUUUUUGGUGGCUGUGUGGAUUAAGGAUCUGACAUUUGUCACUGAUGUGGUGUGGGUUUGAUCCCUGGCCAGGGAAAUGCUGCAUGCCUUGGAUGUGGCCC
rnacentral:lncRNA from 1 species